rnacentral:lncRNA from 1 species
UUGUAUGAGUACAAAAAAAUAGCUUGAUGAAUAUAAUGAAUCUUUUCAUAUAUUAUGGACAAGCUUCAGGCCAGCUUCUUGGUUUGAAUAAUGCAUGCAGAUUUGAUAUCAUGAAAAUAUCUCUAUUAGAAAGUCAGCCUUGUUGGAUCAUUAAUCCAACAUUAUUUUUCUCACUCUUUUUUGUCAUAUUCUAGCUUUCCUCUGAGCCAAACAUUUUGUUGUGUCAGAAAUUUGAUCAAUAGUGGAUGACUAUGAUAAUCAGAUCAACUAUUUCCUCCACAUGGU